rnacentral:lncRNA from 1 species
UUAAGUUUGUGAUAAUUUGUUGCAUAGCAAUAGAAAAUUAAUCCAAACACGUUAAAGACAACUCAGUAUGCCCUCUCACAUUCUGUGUAGGGCUGUUGUGCUAAGGGCUCUUCAUGCUGCCUGAAGGCGAGCUGUUAUCCUCCACGUGAGAAGAAGCUGGGCCUGCAGUUUCUCGAGCAGAGGGAUAAUAAUCAUCUCCCCUCCUGGCCCUCACACCAAGCUCUCCCUGCCUGGUUAAUAAACCCUUCAAAGUCAGAGGCCAUGUGUUGGUUUUGACCAUCCCUCACACCACUGUCCUCCAAUAUAUUUGAUGCAUGAACUCUGUGUGUCUCAUCAAGGGGUCAUUAUGAGCCAGGAUGACCUUGACUGGCCACUUCACCUCUUGUCGUGGUGCUGUCAUGAGAGGUGGCAGCCACCGCCUCACCAGCCAAGCGAGGGCUCCUAAGGACAGAGCUCACAAUAUGCUGGAACCGGCCUGGGUAGAGGAAUAUCAGCUUUAGAAUCAAAUGGUUUUGAUUGCUGCCCCAAGUCUGCUGAGCGUAGCAAGAAUGCUGAAUUCAGUGCUCACCGCUCCUCUCAAAAACCUGGCCUUGGAAUCGCACACUUUCCGCUUCAUUGCUUUUCUUCAGGAUCUAAAGACAUUUUGACUAAAAAACCAAAAAAAUUCUUUUUAAGAAAGAAGUUUUAAGCAGGUUUCAAAACUUUCUUUAAAAAAAAUCCUUGUAACAUUUUUCUUCACCUUAAAAAAAAAGAAGACAAAAUAAUUGCUGUGUUGACAGUUGUGUAAAACCAGGCUUGUGAGGAGGAAGAGCUUCUGGCCAUUUCCUGUUUUUUCUCCGCAAUAAUAUCACUAGAAAUUUUGUAACAGCAACCUGUCAAGCAAAUUUUAACAGUCUAAAUCCUCACAACUUCUGGUGGUAUUGCUAAUAUGCAGGAGGAUAAAACAAUUAGCACCUUCUGCCUCACGCUUCCGCUUUCCCUUCUUGUCCAAAAGUAAACCUCCAUGUUACAUGCUCAUCUAUUAACGGAUGGGCUCAGCUCUCUCCUUGAUGAAAAGCAUUAUAAAUUCACCUGCGAAUGCCAAAUAGUUUCAUUUACUUUCCUCAUACUUAAGGCAAUUUUACACCUAGACAAAUAAUAAAUUGGCUUUGCACCAAAGGUAUAAGUAAAACAAGCUGUGGGUUUUCCUCGGCUGACUGCAUUAGCUCAAAUCUGU